rnacentral:lncRNA from 1 species
AAUUUUAUUAUCUGAUUUUGCAAUUUGUUUGCUUUAAGUAAUUUGAUAGUUUUUCAUAUUCAAAUUUUGAAAUAUUUAAAUUUAUAGUUAUAUAAAUUAUAUAAAAUAUGCUAACUAAAUUCGUAAAAAUAAACAAUAAGUUCAAACUUUGAAGUAACUCAAAUUAAAUAAAUUAAAAGGUCUGAUAGUAAUUCAAAAUUUUUAAAGCUUAGAUAGUUGGAUGUAAAAGGAUGCAUGAUUGUUGAGAUAAAUUUUAUAUAUAUAUUAUUUAAAAAACUAUUACCGUUUGGUUCGGGGUUAAGGAACAACUAGUUAUUCUAGGGAUAGGGUUAAGUUCAGGGUUAAGAUGGUGUUAGAGUAUUUUUGUGUUUGAUUGAGGAUUGGUUGGGGAUUGGAGUUAGUCCAGAAUAGUAAAAAAUAGUGUUUGGUUGAAGUAGCUGGGAUAAGAAGGAUAGUGAGUUAUUAUGAAUAAAAAAUAAUAUUUGGUUGGGAUUUGGUAGGGUUAGGUGGGGUAGCUAACUCCACCUAAAAUGGGCUAUCUCGGGUUAGAUGGGGUUAGCUAAUCCCAUCUAUUUUUUGAGAUGUUUGGGGAUAAUAUAGAGGUUAAGGGAUAAUUCCACCCCUUAACCCCCAGCCAAACAAAGGUUUUAUUAAGGUACUAAUA